GCAAGUCGAGGGGUAACAGGGGUAGCAAUACCUGCUGACGACCGGCGCACGGGUGCGUAACGCGUAUGCAAUCUACCUUAUACAUGGGGAUAGCCACGGGAAACUGUGAUUAAUACCUGAUAUUACCUUUUUAUGGCAUCAUUUAAAGGUGAAAGCUGAGGCGGUAUAAGAUGAGCAUGCGUGACAUUAGUUAGUUGGUGAGGUAACGGCUCACCAAGGCUAUGAUGUCUACGGGGUCUAAAAGGAUGAUC
rnacentral:rRNA from 1 species